GGGGUUGUACUGGUUUCGACGGGGUUUUUGAAGUUAUAGAAGCCAUCCGUGGACUAGGACCACGUUAAAACUUAGAAAAUAAAUAUAAACGCUAACGAAAAUUUAGCUUACGCUGCCUAGUUGCAGCUGUCAGCCUUAAGUCACCUGCUGCUUAAGAAUCUGGCAUCGACUUUGCGGGGAACUUCUUUGUCAAAGCUUUGAGACAUUGGAAGAAUUAUGAAGCUACUGAGCCGGUAAAUCUGUCAUUCGAUGUACCGGGGAGGGAAUGUUAAAUGAAUGACUGUGAUGGGAGAUGCUGUAAUGAAUGGAAUUUCGGACAGGGGUUCGAUUCCCCUCAGCUCCACU
rnacentral:tmRNA from 1 species